rnacentral:rRNA from 2 species
UUGAAUGGCUCAGUGAGGCGUUCGGACUGGCCCAGGGAGGUCGGCAACGACCACCCAGGGCCGGAAAGUUCGUCAAACUUGGUCAUUUAGAGGAAGUAAAAGUCGUAACAAGGUCUCCGUAGGUGAACCUGCGGAGGGAUCAUU